UGUGCCUUUAUUGCAGAGAUUCCCUUCACUUUUCUAGUGGGCUUGUUUUCAUCAGGGAGCCUGAGACAGGCACUCUGUUGUUCACUUCUGGAGCUCAGGACAAUGGCUUUUGUCCCCCUGUGCCUCUGCAUUGUUAACCAAGUAGCUGCACAGCCAAAAGGCCAGAGACUGGGGUGGGGAUGUAUUGUUGGAGGCGCCUGCGCGGCCAAGCCAUCAGCUGGUGGGCCUGCCCAGGGGGGUCCUUCUCACCCUGUCCUGGUGGCUGGUGGAAAGCUGGUGGAGCAAGCUGGAGCAAGCAGUUCCUGGUCAGCCUGCAACCGCUUGGCCCCACUUGGCCCCUCCGGCUCUGUUCGGCCAACGGUCAGCUGGUGGGCCUGCCCAGGAGGGUCCUCCUCACCCUGUCCUGGAAGUGUUCAACAACUGAGGUUUGGAAAGCAAAUCUAAAAAUGAUCACUAGACUAAGAAGACUGCCAAUGAUUUGGAUGUGGAUCUUCAUGGUCAACCAGGACCUAAGAAUGAGGGGACCUUUUCUAUAA
rnacentral:lncRNA from 1 species